UGCUACAGGAUGGUUGUCGCAUUACUUGCAGAGAAUUGUCUCAAAAAUGUUGAUGAAGAAAUUAGGAAGGUUGAUGAUCUUGAUAUCCCCAGAAUUAUUGGAUGCCACAGAAUAAACCGAAAAAGUUACAAUAUUUCAUGUCAACUUGUUUAACAACUUACUCUAAUAAAAGAAAGAUAAUCUUAGGGACAUCUGACAAUCAGGGUUUGUGAGGCUGGGAAGGUGAGAAAGGACUCAAGCAUUGCAACAACUCUUAUAUACGAACCACGGAGUAAUGCUGUCAAACCUGUGAAUUAGACAGGGAAGUGGAAUGGAGUUCUGGGAAUCAGUUUGAGGCAUGUGUUCUUAUUUGCUUGGUUUAAUGUCUGUGAGCAAUGCUAGAGAGGAAACAUUGGAUUCUCUCAGGAGCAGCAAGUCUGAGGAGUGAAUUGACUCCAGGUGAUGAAGACAAAGAAUCCACUUGUAGUAGCUUUUCUCAAAUUGAGACAGGUUGGGUCCACGGUGCAUCAGAAACUUUAUUUUCUGCUUUGAGCUUAAGGAGGAUAAAAGUGAUAUCCUUCACUGGUGCCUGCAAAUGCGUGUUACAUCAGAAGCACAUUGUUCCCAUGAGUUGUAAUGGAGCAGACAGCAAUAAAGUUAGUACUUUAUAUGCAUUUGCAGUUAAUAAAUGCAAAUCUGUAGCUAUUCAACUGGCAGAGUUGCUUUCCUGCUUUUUUUUCUUUUCUUUUCUUUUUUUCUUUUUGAGAAAAAGGGAGGGGGUUGCCCUCCACGUAAACCACCUUGGUGCAGGAUAUGAACCCUAUGUUAUCGAUCACCAUACGGAAAGAAUUGAGUACAUUUGAACCAGCAAUGGUUAUGCAGAAAGAAUUAAAGCCAUCUGCAACCAUUGGAGCCACAUCUACCAUCAUUGCAUGGUAAAGCAUCGAAUACACUAAACCCAGAAGCCAAUAGACAGUUUCACCAUCUUCUUCAGACACCCAACUCUUUCAUGAGGCUCUGAAUUAGAACCGCAGGUUAAAGAAGCCACCAAAGAGUCCUGGUCAUCAGCCAUGGGCAAGGUACAAUUGGUGUACAAGAAGGCUUGUCCCUGUCCAAAUAAUUUUCAGAGAUUUUGAGAAAUAAAGAACUGGGAUGGAUCACAGGAACCACUGUGGGAAUGACCGGCAAAAACCUUAGAACAAGACUCACAUAAUUCAAGAAAAGAGAGGUUUGAAUAAAAGAAUGUCAUGAUGUACUGAAGAUCAUCAAAUAGAUCUACUUGCUCCCUACUGGAGUAUUCACUGCAGUGACCAGCAAGAUCUUCUCCGAAAUGGUCGGAGAACAAGGUCAUGUAGGUUUGCACUAAAGAGUUUGCUAUGAGUAAUAUACAAAGCAAGCACUGUCUUUUGUGGUCUGCAAUACAGUGCUAGUGGCAACUUGAGCAAGCAGGAGGAUGAAAUAGUAAGAUUAAAUAACUUACAGUUUUCAAGUUGUGACAACUUGAGCAAGCAGGAGGAUGAAAUAGUAAGAUUAAAUAACUAACAGUUUUCAGUUGUGAGAAUUUUCCUCCUGCAAAUCAAAAGGCUACUUCUGGAGGACAGCUUUCCCCUAUAUUGCAGCAAGAGCAGCUACUGAUAAAACAACAUAAUGCUGCCACACCACUCCAUGGUGCUUUGGUGCGCUGCCAACAAGUGACUCCAAGGCUUUUAUUUUGAUAAAUUGGUCCCCGCAGGCAAAUAUUUGAACAGGUUCAAUAAUUCCACCAUCUCUAAAUUUGCACCAAAAAUACAGUAACUUC
rnacentral:lncRNA from 1 species